CAAUAGCGUAUAUUAAAGUUGUUGCAGUUAAAAAGCUCGUAGUUGGACUUCAAGCUUUGGACAGCCGGUCCGCCACAAAGUUGGUGUGUACCUUGGUUCGUCCAGGCUUUCCUUUCGGAAAACCAUGUGCGCUAUUAGGUUAGUGGCAUGGGGUUCCGGAUCGUUUACUUUGAAGAAAUUAGAGUGUUUAAAGCAGGCUGUAAUGCAUUGAAUACAUUAGCAUGGAAUAAUGAAAUAGGGCUUUGGUGCUAUUUUGUUUGGUUAUUAGAACCAAAGUAAUGAUUAAUAGGGAUAGUUGGGGGCAUUUAUAUUUAAUUGUCAGAGGUGAAAUUCACGGAUUUAUGAAAGAUAAACUUCUGCGAAAGCAUUUGCCAAGGAUGUUUUCAUUAA
rnacentral:rRNA from 1 species